GCCGUUCAUGCAGCCUCGCUGUUCAUGCAGCCUCGCUGGCCGAUCUGCAGCCUGGCCCUGGAGGAGUGGGGUGAGGAGAAGGUGCUUCUGGCCUCAGGAUGUAGCCCUUCCCCCUGCAUGGAUGAGCCGCCAGGUUCUCUGCUCCUCUUCCCCUUUCCUGCCUGUACCCACCUCUGCUCACCUAGUAUGUGGCCAGUUACGAGGAUAUGUGCAUUUGCCCAGCUCUCUGUGCCUUCUCUUUUGCUGGGGGAAGGAGGACAGUCAGGUAUAUGAGAUUGGAAAAGUUUGGAGACUGCCGCCUAGAGCAGUGAUCUUCACACUUCAGUGGGCACAGGAAAAGCCACAAGAUGAGUCCUGCAGUUGUUUUCCGUGAUGAGUCAAGAACCUACUCUGUGGAUGCAGUGAAUUGAAGUCUGUCUUCUCUCUGGGGAACCUCCUUGGGCCCUGUCUGGUGACAGUCUCAUCCAGGCUAGGGCUUUGAAGAACACGUGUUUGCUGAUGAUGCCCAGAUCUGUGCCCGCCCUGACUUUGACGAAAACCUGCACCUAAGUCUUCCCUGUGUCCAUCCGAGUGACACCCAGAGUGAAUGUGUUCAGGAUGUCUUAGCCUCAGGCCUACUCCCCUCCACCCUUACCUUCUCCUGGGCUCCGCCUGUCUAUCUCCUCCACCAGAAUGUCAGCUCCAUGUGGGCUGGGUGGGGUUGUCUAUUUUGUCCACUGCUCUGUCCCUAGUACCUAGAGCCAUGGCUGGCACAGAAGAACCCUCAGAGGGUGGUGGAUGGAUGGAUGGAUGGAUGGAUGAGUGGGUGGGUGAGGACACUGGAAUCUGAAUUGCC
rnacentral:lncRNA from 1 species